AUUGAACGCUGGCGGCAUGCCUUACACAUGCAAGUCGAACGGCAGCGCGGGGCAACCUGGCGGCGAGUGGCGAACGGGUGAGUAAUAUAUCGGAACGUACCCUGGAGUGGGGGAUAACGUAGCGAAAGUUACGCUAAUACCGCAUACGAUCUAAGGAUGAAAGUGGGGGAUCGCAAGACCUCAUGCUCCUGGAGCGGCCGAUAUCUGAUUAGCUAGUUGGUAGGGUAAAAGCCUACCAAGGCAUCGAUCAGUAGCUGGUCUGAGAGGACGACCAGCCACACUGGAACUGAGACACGGUCCAGACUCCUACGGGAGGCAGCAGUGGGGAAUUUUGGACAAUGGGCGCAAGCCUGAUCCAGCAAUGCCGCGUGAGUGAAGAAGGCCUUCGGGUUGUAAAGCUCUUUUGUCAGGGAAGAAACGGGCCUUUCUAAUACAGAGGCCUAAUGACGGUACCUGAAGAAUAAGCACCGGCUAACUACGUGCCAGCAGCCGCGGUAAUACGUAGGGUGCAAGCGUUAAUCGGAAUUACUGGGCGUAAAGCGUGCGCAGGCGGUUUUGUAAGUCUGUCGUGAAAUCCCCGGGCUCAACCUGGGAAUGGCGAUGGAGACUGCAA
rnacentral:rRNA from 1 species